UCAGACGAUGCGUCAUGCAUAUCAAUAAGCGGAGGAAAAGAAACUAACAAGGAUUCCCCUAGUAACGGCGAGUGAAGCGGGAAGAGCUCAAAUUUGAAAGUCUUAAAGGGUUUCCCUUUACGAAUUGUAGUUUAAAGAAGUGUUUUCUGUUGAGGUUUUGGUAAAAGUUCUUUGGAAUAGGACAUCAUAGAGGGUGAGAAUCCCGUAUUUGACCUUUACUUUCAACUUUGUGAUACACUUUCAAAGAGUCGGAUUGUUUGGGAAUGUAGUCCAAAAUGGGUGGUAAAUUUCAUCUAAAGCUAAAUAUUGGUGAGAGACCGAUAGCGAACAAGUACCGUGAGGGAAAGAUGAAAAGAACUUUGAAAAGAGAGUUAAACAGUACGUGAAAUUGUCAAAAGGGAAGCGUUUGACACCAGUGUUGUUUUUUCUGAAAAUCAAUUAAAGAACUGUUUAUGCUAAGCUGUUUAGACUUUAUCAGCUAACUGUUUAGUUUUGAGCUUUUCUUUAAUGCACUUUUCAGUUAACAAGUCAACAUCAAUUUCUUUUGCUGUAAAAAGCUUGAGGAAGGUGGCUUGAGAUUCGUCUUAAGUGUUUAUAGCCUCUUGCCUAUGCAGUCGGAGAGAUUGAGGUCUGCAGCGUAGAUCCUUCGGGGCUAAAUGCAUUUGUGCUAAGUUAUAGCAUUUUAUAGACAACUUGUUGACUAUGAUUUGUCUUGUAGCUUACUCGCUUAUGUUAUUUUACCUACGCUUAGGAUGUUGACACACGCGCGUGCUCG
rnacentral:rRNA from 1 species